rnacentral:rRNA from 1 species
CGGACGGGUGAGUAACGCGUAAGAACUUGCCCUUUAGACUGGGAUAACAGAGGGAAACUUCUGAUAAUACUGGAUAAGUUAGUAUAUCGCAUGAUAUGCAAAUGAAAGCUACGGCACUAAAGGAGAGCUUUGCGUCCUAUUAGCUAGUUGGUAAGGUAAGAGCUUACCAAGGCGAUGAUAGGUAGCCGGCCUGAGAGGGUGGACGGCCACAAGGGGACUGAGAUACGGCCCUUACUCCUACGGGAGGCAGCAGGG